CAGUAGCCGCGGGAAUACGAAGGGGGCUAGCGUUGCUCGGAAUGACUGGGCGUAAAGGGCGCGUAGGCGGUCUGACAAGUCAGAUGUGAAAUCCCCGGGCUUAACCUGGGAACUGCAUUUGAAACUGUCAGGCUGGAGUCUUGUAGAGGGGGGUGGAAUUCCAGGUGUAGCGGUGAAAUGCGUAGAGAUCUGGAGGAAUACCGGUGGCGAAGGCGGCCCCCUGGACGAAGACUGACGCUCAGGUGCGAAAGCGUGGGGAGCAAACAGGAUUAGAUACCCGCGUAGUCCCUGUCUCUUAUAC
rnacentral:rRNA from 1 species